AGAUUUUAAUUACAGGAGGUCUACGAACACAACGACAUGCGCAUCGUUUUGCAGAAUGUGCCUGCGUGGCAUUGUUUGGCGAAGUUGUGCGCAACAUGCUGUUGUGUUCGUAGGCCUUCGCUUUUAAUUAAUUAGUUGAAAGGUUAUUCACGACUUCGUUGCGUCCUUUGUCUAUCUUCUGUUUAACCUCGUUCGGUUCAUAUGUUUGGUCAUUUAAGUGAGUUACAAUGUGAUGCUAAGAGAUUUUGAAGCAUUUAGCAAAUUUUGGUUUCCUGCAGGUGAAAUUGCAAUAGCCUAGAUAUUUUUCGAU